rnacentral:tRNA from 1 species
GGCUCUGUAGUGAAAUUCAUAGUGAGUUGCAAGCUCAUUGAUGUGCAUUAGUUUGCACCGAGGUCU